UGACUGCUCCUGUGGCCUAAGCGGUUAGAGCGUCCGCCUUGGAUGCAGGAAGUCGCGAGCUCGAUCCCCGGCCGAGUCAU